GCUAUCUAUGUUUAUAACAAAGAGCGAGAGUGCAAGGCUUGUCCCUUCGGGGACAUCCGAUAAAAUUGGAACGAUACAGAGAAGAUUAGCAUGGCCCCUGCGCAAGGAUGACACGCAUAAAUCGAGAAAUGGUCCAAAUUUUUUUAAUUUCCCAAACCCCAUGUUUGAAUUCUUCCAUGGCUUCCACUGUCUCCUUCGUUCUACACAAAGAAGUUGCACAGGGAUUGCUGCUAGGACCUCCAUCAGCAUCAUGUGGGACCUGUGAAUUGCUCUUAGACUAGAAUAAAACUUCAUCAGUGGUUGUGGGUGUUUUUAUACUCUCUUUGGUUUUACAAGAACAAAGAAGCUUAGUUAUGAAGGCUGGUUGGUUUCUUCCACAACUGUGGUAGAGCAAAGCAAAAGAUGUUCUUUCAGUUCCGUAGAAACCUCGACUGAAGAAUUUAUUUGGAGGGAAAUAAUUUAUCCUCACCUAUCCAUCAGGUCAUGUGAGUUUGUGACCAAGUCCAAGUCUUAGCCAUACCAUUUUUUUAAUGGAAGCAUUCAGUACCUUAUUAUAAAAAAUCAAAAAAUAAAAAAUAAAAACCUUAAAAAUGCAAUAUUUUUUAUUAAAUGAUAGAAACAAUGCAGUUAAUCUAUAACAAUUUUUUU